GGGUCAAUGGCGAGAACUCAUACUGUUUUGAAGAGAGGAUGACUUAAAAAUCAUGUUAAUUAUGUUCACGCUGAAGCCC